AUUGAACGCUGGCGGCAUGCCUUACACAUGCAAGUCGAACGGCAGCACGGGAGCAAUCCUGGUGGCGAGUAGCGAACGGGUGAGUAAUAUAUCGGAACGUGCCCAGUAGUGGGGGAUAGCCCGGCGAAAGCCGGAUUAAUACCGCAUGAGACCUGAGGGUGAAAGCGGGGGAUCGCAAGACCUCGCGCUAUUGGAGCGGCCGAUAUCAGAUUAGCUAGUUGGUGGGGUAAAGGCCUACCAAGGCAACGAUCUGUAGUUGGUCUGAGAGGACGACCAGCCACACUGGGACUGAGACACGGCCCAGACUCCUACGGGAGGCAGCAGUGGGGAAUUUUGGACAAUGGGCGCAAGCCUGAUCCAGCAAUGCCGCGUGCAGGAAGAAGGCCUUCGGGUUGUAAACUGCUUUUGUCAGGGAAGAAAUCCCUUGGGAUAAUACCUCGGGGGGAUGACGGUACCUGAAGAAUAAGCACCGGCUAACUACGUGCCAGCCGCCGCGGUAACAC
rnacentral:rRNA from 1 species